UACGUAGGUGGCAAGCGUUGUCCGGAAUUAUUGGGCGUAAAGCGCGCGCAGGCGGUCACUUAAGUCUGAUGUGAAAUCUCGGGGCUCAACCUCGAGCGGUCAUUGGAAACUGAGUGACUUGAGUACAGAAGAGGAGAGUGGAAUUCCACGUGUAGCGGUGAAAUGCGUAGAGAUGUGGAGGAACACCAGUGGCGAAGGCGGCUCUCUGGUCUGUCACUGACGCUGAGGCGCGAAAGCGUGGGUAGCGAACAGG
rnacentral:rRNA from 1 species